rnacentral:rRNA from 1 species
UACGUAGGUGGCGAGCGUUGUCCGGAUUUACUGGGCGUAAAGAGCUCGUAGGCGGCUUGUCGCGUCGGAUGUGAAAGCCCGGGGCUUAACUCCGGGUCUGCAUUCGAUACGGGCAGGCUAGAGCUCGGUAGGGGAGAUCGGAAUUCCUGGUGUAGCGGUGAAAUGCGCAGAUAUCAGGAGGAACACCGGUGGCGAAGGCGGAUCUCUGGGCCGAUACUGACGCUGAGGAGCGAAAGCGUGGGGAGCGAACAGG